rnacentral:rRNA from 1 species
UUGCUGGGUGGAUUAGUGGCGAACGGGUGAGUAACACGUGAGUAACCUGCCCCUGACUCUGGGAUAAGCGUUGGAAACGACGUCUAAUACUGGAUAUGAUCACUGGCCGCAUGGUCUGGUGGUGGAAAGAUUUUUUGGUUGGGGAUGGACUCGCGGCCUAUCAGCUUGUUGGUGAGGUAAUGGCUCACCAAGGCGACGACGGGUAGCCGGCCUGAGAGGGUGACCGGCCACACUGGGACUGAGACACGGCCCAGACUCCUACGGGAGGCAGCAGUGGGGAAUAUUGCACAAUGGGCGAAAGCCUGAUGCAGCAACGCCGCGUGAGGGAUGACGGCCUUCGGGUUGUAAACCUCUUUUAGUAGGGAAGAAGCGAAAGUGACGGUACCUGCAGAAAAAGCACCGGCUAACUACGUGCCAGCAGCCGCGGUAAUACGUAGGGUGCAAGCGUUGUCCGGAAUUAUUGGGCGUAAAAGAGCUCGUAGGCGGUUUGUCGCGUCUGCUGUGAAAUCCCGAGGCCUCAACCUCGGGCUUGCAGUGGGUACGGGCAGACUAGAGUGCGGUAGGGGAGAUUGGAAUUCCUGGUGUAGCGGUGGAAUGCGCAGAUAUCAGGAGGAACACCGAUGGCGAAGGCAGAUCUCUGGGCCGUAACUGACGCUGAGGAGCGAAAGCAUGGGGAGCGAACAGGAUUAGAUACCCUGGUAGUCCAUGCCGUAAACGUUGGGCGCUAGAUGUAGGGACCUUUCCACGGUUUCUGUGUCGUAGCUAACGCAUUAAGCGCCCCGCCUGGGGAGUACGGCCGCAAGGCUAAAACUCAAAGGAAUUGACGGGGGCCCGCACAAGCGGCGGAGCAUGCGGAUUAAUUCGAUGCAACGCGAAGAACCUUACCAAGGCUUGACAUACACCGGAAACGGCCAGAGAUGGUCGCCCCCUUGUGGUCGGUGUACAGGUGGUGCAUGGUUGUCGUCAGCUCGUGUCGUGAGAUGUUGGGUUAAGUCCCGCAACGAGCGCAACCCUCGUUCUAUGUUGCCAGCGGGUUAUGCCGGGGACUCAUAGGAGACUGCCGGGGUCAACUCGGAGGAAGGUGGGGAUGACGUCAAAUCAUCAUGCCCCUUAUGUCUUGGGCUUCACGCAUGCUACAAUGGCCGGUACAAAGGGCUGCGAUACCGUAAGGUGGAGCGAAUCCCAAAAAGCCGGUCUCAGUUCGGAUUGAGGUCUGCAACUCGACCUCAUGAAGUCGGAGUCGCUAGUAAUCGCAGAUCAGCAACGCUGCGGUGAAUACGUUCCCGGGCCUUGUACACACCGCCCGUCAAGUCAUGAAAGUCGGUAACACCCGAAGC